GGGGACACGGAGGGGCAGCGGGGAGGCUGGCCGGGUUUACAUUCCCUCUCCACUCCUUUCUCACUCCCGCCAUCACCCAUGGCCGUCACCAGCACACUACACAGGGACAAAAUAAUGAAGAUAGCCAUAGUUAAAUCUCCUGGAUGGUCCUUAGGCUCCUGAAUCAUUAUGCAGAAUGGGAAAUAGAAAGAUAAAAGACAGACAGGACCUGGGUGCAAGACGUCUCUUUGAGUCUCUGGAGUUUCCUGCUCUCUGAGAGGUGCCGCUGGGCAAGAGGCAUGAUGGGCACAUUGAAGAUGGAACCUUUUUCUUGGCUGCGAGGCCGCAAGCGAAACUCACCUGCCCACACCUCUCCAGUGGGGUCCCCCCCCUUCCCUCCAGGCUCUGCUUCUCAUCACUCUCUCCGACUCCUCACCAGCCAUCAGCCAGAGCCCUGUCGGCGGGCUCCAGCUUGGAGAGUAAUGCUGAGAGCACAAAGCACCUGGGCGGAGUUGGGAGGCUGAAGGGCUGAGCCAGAUCUACAGUGGGGAGGCUCUGAGCACCCUAGAUCACUGGAGGGGAGUAGACGGGGUGGGGAGCCAGUCAGAAAUUGGGGCGGUGGGGGGCAGGUGCAGAGUGUAACAGAAAUCCCUUGUCUCCCCUUUAAGCAGGACUGAUGGGCCAGGUCUGAGGUCAGGGGGCUUGGAAAACUGGCUGUGGAAUUAACUUAGCAGCCCACAGCCCUCAACUCCAGGAAACCCUCCACUGAAAUGUUGCAGAAGCAGAGAGCGAAGCCACCUCCCAUUCUCCGCCAGGUGACCUGUAAGAGGCCACCCUCAUCUGGACGGCCAGGUCCUGAGGGGAAUAAGGAGAGACUGAGGGUUCCACGGAGGGGACAUGCUUCCCUCGUGAGCCUGGGGGAGAAUCCUUUCCAACGUGGACCUGCCCAGGAAGAUUUGCCUGGGAAGACGUUAGUUGGACCUUGCAGGCAGAAUGCGUUCGUGGGACAGAAAGAGGAAAGACAUGACGGCCAAAGGAAACAGAAGGUGCAAAGGAUUUUUUUCCUUCGGUGACCACAGUUCUUGGUCACGCCGCUUUGAAGAAUGAAGAGGUAAACCAGAUGAAAAGUGGUGGGCAGCAAAGCAAAGUUUCUUGAGUGAUAGUAAAGUUUAUUGAGUGACAGUACAAAGCUCCCGAAGAGGGAGGGGACCUGAGAGGGUUGCCUAAGAUGGACCAGGAUCUAACGCCGAGACCUAGCCCUGGCCACAAGGCAGUGUGCCAGCCGGGGAACUCGAGUCCGGGCUCUUUGGGGAGUUACUGUCUCAGCUCCCAGCUAAGAACACACUGUUAUGAUGGCUCCCAUUUCUCUAACCAGUGUUGCCAAGCAGAGGUCAACGUUCACUCCAGUAAGGUAUCGCCAGGCUCUCACAUGGGGAGGUGGGUCACCACUGGGGGAGAACCCUUUGCCUUGGCUGGUGGGGAAGCUGGUAUAUAAGAGAGGCCACCCCUGACCACCUUCUCUACGUGUCUUGCUGUCACAUUAUGCCCUCUGAUAUCGUUUCAUUCAAAUCUUCCCAACCGUCAGGCCCAAAUACCCUAAAAACUUGCGGGAAAAGUGUCCCUUUUUGGAGAAUUACUCAGGAGACAGGAACACGCACGCUGCUCCUCUCAUUAGGACAUAUUUCCCUUUGAAUAAACGUGGCCCCGGCCUCUA